CCCAGUUCAGGGAGGUAGUGACAAUAAAUACCUUACAGAGGUCUCGUUAACCGAGAUCUCUCAAACGGAAUGAGUACAACGUGAAUCCUUUAACGAGGAUCGACUGGAGGGCAAGCCUGGUGCCAGCAGCCGCGGUAAUUCCAGCUCCAGUAGCGUAUAUUAAAGCUGUUGCGGUUAAAAAGCUCGUAGUUGGAUAUCAGUGCGUGUCCGGUCCGGUAUGCCCGGCGCUGUCGCUCACGCGGCAAUGCUGGGCUCCCAAAUAUCGGCUGGCCGCAUUCAAUCGUGCCGGAUCCGUCGACGGGCCGUUCUUCGGAGGGGCCUGUUGGCGACCGGCGACGUUACCUUGAACAAAUUAGAGUGCUCAAAGCAGGCUCUGAAUGCCUGUAUACAUAUUCAUGGAAUUGGAGAAUACGUCCCUGGCUCGAUUUGGUUGGUUUUGAGAGUCGAAGGGAAAUGAUUAAUAGGGACUGACGGAGGCAUUCGUAUUGCGACGCGAGGGGUGAAAUCCUGUGACCGUCGCACGACGAACUACUGCGAAAGCAUUUGCCGAGAAUGUUUUCAUUAGUCAAGAACGAAAGUUAGAGGUUCGAAGGCGAUCAGAUACCGCCCUAGUUCUAACCGUAAACGAUGUCGACCAGCAAUCCGCAACGGUCACUACACGGACUGUGCGGGCAGCUUCCCCGGGGAAACCAGAGUGUAUGGACUCCGGGGGAAGUAUGGUUGCAAAGCUGAAACUUAAAGGAAUUGACGGAAGGGCACCACCAGGAGUGGAGCUUGCGGCUUAAUUUGACUCAACACGGGACAACUCACCAGGCCCGGACACCGUAAGGAUUGACAGACUGAUAGCUCUCUCUUGAUUCAGUGGGUGGUGGUGCAUGGCCGUUCUUAGUUGGUGGAGUGAUUUGUCUGGUUUAUUCCGAUAACGAACGAGACUCUGGCCUAUUAAACUUGACGCUGUCAGUCUCUUGUGACUGCGGCGCGCUUCUUAGAGGGAUCAUCGGCGUCCCAGCCGAAGGAAAGGGAGCAAUAACAGGUCUGUGAUGCCCUUAGAUGUUCUGGGCUGCACGCGUGUUACACUGAAGUGGUCAGCGCGCCGUUCAACGUCCCUCUCCGUGAGGAGCGGGCAAACGUUUGAACCCUUUUCGUGAUGGGAAUUGGGGGUUGCAAUUGUCCCCCAUGAACGAGGAAUUCCAAGUAAGCGCAGGUCACUAGCCUGCGUUGAUUAAGUCCCUGCCCUUUGUACACACCGCCCGUCGCUACUACCGAUGGAUGAUUUGGUGAGAUAGCCUAGA
rnacentral:rRNA from 1 species